GAUGAACGCUGACAGAAUGCUUAACACAUGCAAGUCAACUUGAAUUUGGGUUUUUAACUUAGGUUUGGGUGGCGGACGGGUGAGUAACGCGUAAAGAACUUGCCUCACAGCUAGGGGCAACAUUUGGAAACGAAUGCUAAUACCUAAUAUUAUGAUAAUAGGGCAUCCUAUAAUUAUGAAAGCUAUAAGCGCUGUGAGAGAGCUUUGCGUCCCAUUAGCUAGUUGGAGAGGUAACGGCUCACCAAGGCGAUGAUGGGUAGCCGGCCUGAGAGGGUGAUCGGCCACAAGGGGACUGAGACACGGCCCUUACUCCUACGGGAGGCAGCAGUGGGGAAUAUUGGACAAUGGACCAAGAGUCUGAUCCAGCAAUUCUGUGUGCACGAUGAAGUUUUUCGGAAUGUAAAGUGCUUUCAGUUGGGAAGAAAGAAAUGACGGUACCAACAGAAGAAGUGACGGCUAAAUACGUG
rnacentral:rRNA from 1 species